CCUACGGGGAGGCAGCAGUAAGGAAUAUUGGUCAAUGGACGCAAGUCUGAACCAGCCAUGCCGCGUGAAGGAUUAAGGCCCUCUGGGUUGUAAACUUCUUUUAUAGGGGACGAAAAAAGGGCAUUCUUGCUCACUUGACGGUACCCUAGGAAUAAGCACCGGCUAACUCCGUGCCAGCAGCCGCGGUAAUACGGAGGGUGCAAGCGUUAUCCGGAUUUACUGGGUUUAAAGGGUGCGUAGGUGGGUUGGUAAGUCAGUGGUGAAAUCUUCGAGCUUAACUCGGAAACUGCCAUUGAUACUAUCAAUCUUGAAUCAUCUAGAGGUAAGCGGAAUAUGUCAUGUAGCGGUGAAAUGCUUAGAUAUGACAUAGAACACCAAUUGCGAAGGCAGCUUACUAUGGAUGUAUUGACACUGAGGCACGAAAAGCGUGGGGGAUCAAAACAGGAUUAGAUACCCUGGUAGUCCACGCCCUAAACGAUGGAUACUCGACAUUUGUGAUAUACUAUAAGUGUUNUNAGNGAAGANAUAAGUAUACCACCUACGGAAGAGACCGACGAAGUAGUAAGUACAAAGAAAGUUAGUAGGCGNGAGAGAGACGAGACGACACGAGGGAGGAGG
rnacentral:rRNA from 1 species